rnacentral:rRNA from 1 species
UACAGAGGUCUCAAGCGUUGUUCGGAUUCAUUGGGCGUAAAGGGCGCGUAGGCUGCGGGGCAAGUCGGGGUGUGAAAUCUCAGAGCUCAACUCUGAAACUGCACUCGAUACUGCUUUGCUCGAGGACUGGAGAGGAGAUUGGAAUUCACGGUGUAGCAGUGAAAUGCGUAGAUAUCGUGAGGAAGACCAGUGGCGAAGGCGGAUCUCUGGACAGUUCCUGACGCUGAGGCGCGAAGGCCAGGGGAGCAAACGGGG